UUGGAGGGCAAGUCUGGUGCCAGCAGCCGCGGUAAUUCCAGCUCCAAUAGCGUAUAUUAAAGUUGUUGCAGUUAAAAAGCUCGUAGUUGAAUUUCGGGAUCGACGGGUCGGUCGCGCCUCUGGUGUGUACUGGCCCUGUCGGUUUCUCCCUUCUGACGAACCACGAUGUCAUUAAUUUGGCGUCGUGGGGAAUCAGGACUGUUACUUUGAAAAAAUUAGAGUGUUUAAAGCAAGCAUUUGCUUGAAUACAUUAGCAUGGAAUAAUGAAAUAGGACGUUUGAUCUUAUUUUGUUGGUUUCUAAGAUCGACGUAAUGAUUAAUAGGGAUAGUUGGGGGCAUUAGUAUUCAAUUGUCAGAGGUGAAAUUCUUGGAUUUAUUGAAGACUAACUACUGCGAAAGCAUUUGCCAAGGAUGUUUUCAUUAAUCAAGAACGAAAGUUAGGGGAUCGAAGACGAUCAGAUACCGUCGUAGUCUUAACCAUAAACUAUGCCGACUAGGGAUCGGAUGAUGUUAAUUUUUUAAUGACUCAUUCGGCGCCUUACGGGAAAC
rnacentral:rRNA from 1 species